CCCACCUCUUUGGACUAGGGGAUGAGUUGACCUGCUAGCUGUGUCUGGACACCCUGACUGAUCCCAUGUCACUUGAUUGUGGACACAGUUUUUGUUUGAUGUGCCUCACCUACUAUAGGGAUUGGGGUCAAGUGUGUGAGCAGCUUUCCUCAGUGCCCACAAAUCGUCAUGCUGAGGCCUCAACAAUGUACUGAAUUAAGUCAUCAAGACAUUAAAGAAGACAGAACUCAUUCCAGUUCCUCCAUCUGAGAACUAUGCUAGCCAUGGAGGAAGAAGUUCAGAGCAGUGAAGUCAUGUCUGAUCUACCUUCACUGGCAGUCUAAUUAUGAAGGAACUACCUGGAAGGAACACAAACUGACUGAUCCAGAUGGAAAUCUAAAAUAAGGAGGAACUCUGUGCACAACAUCAGAAAAAUUUGGAAAUAUUUUGCAAGAUUGAGGAGACGUGUAUCCGCAUGAUGUGUGUGUGGUUACUGGACAUAAUGGUUAUAAAAUGUUCAAGCUGGAGAUGGACAGAGGAGACAAACAGACCAAACAUAAGAAAUCCUUCCUGUCCCGGGCCUGAGGAUGUCACGUCCUGUGAACCAGCUAUAAAAAACCCUCAUCCUCCAUACUCAAACAGACUCCUCUCUACUCAAAUUGAACAGCAACAUGGCACGCCAAUUCCUCCAUCUGUCUGAAUGGAAGACGAAGGAGAUAUGCCAGAGGUCCAAAUGACCAUCAUCAUCAAGUUCUUCCAAG